GCAGAAAAGAAAUGGCCUUACCGAAGAGGCAUCUGGAAAAGGAAAACCUUACAGGACUGGACUCCCGUCCUAAAACGGAAGGCGAGCAUGGUGGAAGGAAUCUAGGAAUCAGACGAUAGUGCUGUAAUGUGCGUAAAAAAAAAUCUGAAUGGGGAGAUGCCCAGACAAUUGAGCUGAGUAACUGGAUGGCUGAGUCUUUUGCUGCACUUCUGUGGACAGGACCCUUUGGGUCUCCUCAAUGAGAUUCACCCCCACCUUUGCUCAGGAGACAGCAGACUAAAGGACAGGUAUAAAUGCUGCUCUUUUCCUCUCCACUCAUAUUGCAUUGCCUGCUACUUGUUAAGCUAAUCAAGCCACUGCCUUCCUUGUUUUGUGUCUUUUUCCCUGAGAGCUGCUGUCAUUCUUACAAUUACCAAAGUUGCCAAAUACCAUGUUUUCACAUCAUGCCUCUGUUUGUGCAGAAGUAAAUGUCAUUUCUUUAUUUUCAAAAGUGUGCCUCUGCAUCUGUUUGCUCCUCUAGGGUACCCUGACUUGUCCUGCCCCUGUGAUUCGUUUGCUAUUUUACAUUUGCAAAGUUUGGUUCUGAGUCAUUCCCCUCUGGUUUGGCCUGAAAGUAUAGGUGCAUAAGUAUAUAGAAUACAUGGCUGUGAACAAGCUUGAUAAUAUUAUUAACCCAUUGUGUGCUUUAUAGACUAUAAGAAAACCUAGCCUGGUCAUUCCAUUGUCUGGAGAUGGACUUUCCUAGUUACUUUUGCAGGGCGGGGGCAGUCUUCAGUGGGGUAAAUGGCAGUUAUCCAUAGGAAAUAAUGGAGAGAGCCAGGAUUUAAUAAAUGAGUUAACCCCACUUCUCAGUUUGCAAAGUGGCUAGCAACAUAAGUUAAUAUACAAGUAAGUGUAAAAUCAAUAAAAACAAUAAUAAAAUAUCAAAUAAAACAACCAUAAGGUGAGAAGCAAAAUGAGUAAAAGGGGGGGGGAUCACAAACAGUUAUCAAGUGUUUAACUGGUUCAGGCAUCAGGUUGCAAGUUGGUUCAGGGUCCUUUGUAACUUCCCCUGCCAGAGUGGAAGCUUAGAUGCAUGUAUUCUGCUGAAUUCAGGAUUUGUCUAUAUGGGCCAUUUUUCAGAUCACCACCACUCCCUCCUGCCAUCCACAUUGUCCCCAUUCUUGGCCCAUCAUUGCACAGAGAAGCCGGAGCAGCGCUGGCGCUCCUGGAGGGACACAUUCCUGUGCUGCUUGCUUCUAGAGCUAUCCUGGAGCAUUAAAAAGGCACAAAUUCUAUGCAGAUGCACCCUCACAUGGAAGUUAGUGGGCUGUUUGGGAAUCACACAAUUUCAGUUGAGAAUAACAAUUUCUGAAAUUUUGCAGACAGAGCUGGACUUCUGUUUCAUGUUGAAUGUUUAGUUCAGCAUUAGCUUUGACUGUUGAAAAGCAGACUAGCUGGAUGCCAUUAGCAAACUAAGAAAGAACCCAUGCAAACAAACAAAAAGAGGGUGCUUACUGGCAUACUAGACUGAUUAAAUUCUAUUAAAGUUUUGAUUCUUCAAAACACAAGCUUUUAUAUGGUGUCCCCCAGGGCUCCAUCCUGUGUCCAAUGCUUUUUAAUGUCUACAUGAAACUGCAGGGAGAGAUCGUCAGGAGAUUGGGUGCAGGGUAUUACCAGCUUGCUGAUGACACCCAAAUUUAUUUCUCCCAUGCCAACAUCAUCAGAAGGCAUAACUUCCCUAAAUGCCUGCCUGGAGGCAGUGAUGGGUGGGUUGAGGGCAGUGGCAUAGCCUCCAUUGAGCAAACAGGUUCAAACAACCUGGGCCACCAUGCUGCAGGGGCUGCACUUGGCACCCCAGCCACACCCCUGCAUCUGAUGUCAGAUGCAGGGGGCAUGGCCACAUUAGCAAAUGGGGCCACACCCCCUGUUUGGAAGUAAAAUUCAACCAGCAUCACAUUUGCAGUGUGGCUGGGAUGGCUUCUCUCUGCUUGCAAAGACAGGGAGAGGUGUUCCUGGUUAGGCUGGGGGCUCCAUUUUUGAGAAGUUUCAGCCAGCGCUGGGCUCCCAGCCUGGCCAGGAAUGUCUCUCUCUGCCUUCCCAAACAGGGUGAUGCCAUCCCAGCAAUGCCACAAAUGCGACGCUGGCCAGAUUUUACUUCCAAACAGGGCAUGUGGCCCCAUUUGCUAACAUGGUCAUGCCCCCUGUAUCUGACGUCAAAACACAGGGGUAUGGCUGGGGUGGUAGAGGCUACCAGUGGCAGGCUAGACCAGCCCCCACCACCCUUGCGUCCUCACUAUGCCACUGCUUGAGGGAUAACAAACAGACUGAAUCCAAAUAAGACAGAAGUACUUAUUGUGUGGGGUCAGAACUCAGUAGACAGAAGGAACAGGUAUGCAGUCUGGGAGUACCUCUGGAUCCAAACCUGUUCCUGGUGUCUUGGGUUGAGGCAGUGGCCAGAGGUGCUUUCUAACAGCUUCGGUUGAUAUGCCAGCUGUGUCCAUUUCUUGAGAUAAAUGACCUCAGAACAGAAGUACAUCUGCUGGUCACCUCCAGACUUGACUACUGCAAUGCGCUCUAUGUGGGGCUGCCUUUGUAUGUAAGCCAGAAACUGCAAUUAGUCCAGAAUGUGGCAGCCAGAUUGGUCUCUGGGUCAUCUCGGAGAGCAUAUCACUCCUAUUUUAAAACAUCUACACUGGCUGCCGGUGAGUUUCCAGGUAGAGUAUAAGGUUUUGGUUAUAAUCUAUAAAGCCCUAAACAGCUUGGGCCCUGGGUAUUUAAGAGAACAUCUUCUUUGCUAUGAACCACACCGCCCACUGAGAUCAUCUGGAGAGGUUCGUCUGCAGUUGCCACCAACCCGUCUGGUGGCUACUUGGGGACGGGCCUUCUCCAUUGCUGCCUCGAGGCUUUGGAACACACUUCCUGCUGAAAUAAGAGCCUCCCCAUCUCUUAUAACUUUUAAAAGGGCAGUCAAGACGCAUUUGUUCACCCAGGCUUUUAAUUAGAUACUGUUUUAAUUGUGUGUUAAUUGUGUUUUAAUAGUUUUAACUUUAAUUUUAAUUGUUGAAAUGUUUUAAUCUUUUAUUGACUGUUUUUAUUGUCCUGUAAACUGCCCAGAAAACUUGCGUUUGGGGUGGUAUACAAAUGUAUUAAAUAAAUAAAUAAAAUCCUCUAUAAUAAAAGGCUUGGGUGUGC